AUUGAACGCUGGCGGCAUGCCUUACACAUGCAAGUCGAACGGUAACAGGUCUUCGGAUGCUGACGAGCGGCGAACGGGUGAGUAAUACAUCGGAACGUGCCUAGUAGUGGGGGAUAACUACUCGAAGGAGUGGCUAAUACCGCAUGAGAUCUACGGAUGAAAGCAGGGGAUCGCAAGACCUUGUGCUACUAGAGCGGCCGAUGGCAGAUUAGGUAGUUGGUGGGAUAAAAGCUUACCAAGCCGACGAUCUGUAGCUGGUCUGAGAGGACGAUCAGCCACACUAGGACUGAGACACGGCCCAGACUCCUACGGGAGGCAGCAGUGGGGAAUUUUGGACAAUGGGCGCAAGCCUGAUCCAGCAAUGCCGCGUGCAGGAUGAAGGCCUUCGGGUUGUAAACUGCUUUUGUACGGAACGAAAAGCCCUGGGUUAAUACCCUGGGGUCAUGACGGUACCGUAAGAAUAAGCACCGGCUAACUACGUGCCAGCAGCCGCAGUAACAC
rnacentral:rRNA from 1 species